GGCAAGAUGGCCGAGCGGUUAAGGCGUGUGACUCAAGAGUGCCGGUCGGUUAGAACGACUGGGAAAUCUUGCCCUGAUAAGGGGUUUCUCAUCACGGUAUCGUGGCGUGGGUUCAAGUCCCACUCUUGUCA